UAGCAACAAUAUAUUUCGAUUAGUUUCUCAAAUGAGAAAGGGUAGCAACAGGAGAAAGCGAUAGAUGAGUAAUGCAUUUUAAACCCAAAAUUUGAACAGGAACAAAUCAAAUAAAAACUUUACAUAACAGCUCAUAAUUUCAAACACUUUCUCUUAUUAUCAGGAGUUUUAAUUUUACAUCAGUUAUACCUGUGUGGCUGUGUCCAGUCAUGUAAAGAUGGUUGUUAUACUUCCCUUUCUCUUCUACUAUUUCUUUCUUGUAAAACAAUAUUUCACUCCAAUUCUUUCUUCUCUUUCUUCACCAGUGUGCAUGAAAGACGAGAGAAACCAUACGUGUUCUUCGCUUUUUUGUUCCGGAGCCUUUCUCUUCUUUCCAUCUGCUCUUUAACAGUGCAAACAAACUGCAAAGUGUAUGGGAUUUGGUCACAUUUUAUUCAUGAGAUGGUCUAGAUUAGUAUUAGUAUGGAUACGGAAAAAUAAUUCUAGUAUUGAAUAGAAUAGGCAUAAUAGACAAGGGAAGAAUAAAUAUAGAUAGAAAUCGAUUGUGGAAGAAUUUUUUUAAAAAAACGACGAACUUUGACACCUUGGAUAAAGACUCGUAUAAUCUUAUAUGUUUUGAAUGCACGUAUGGAUCAAUAUUUUAGAUGACAAAUCGAUUCUAACAUGGAACACUAAAGAUACUUAUUCCUUUCUUUUUAUUUCCGUGUAAAAUGCUACAGCAGGAAUAACCACUUGACGAACAUCGGAAACUCUGAGGUCCAACAAAUUAUACAAUACUUCGAACAUAAAAUAUUUCAAUUUUCAUGUGUCUGCAUUGUCUACUUUAGACAGGAUAAACUAAAAAUAUUGUAGGAUUGCGUAUUGGUGUUCAUAACACGGAACGGAAGACAAUAACAAUCCUAGGCAGAACUUUUCGUGUUUAAAAUUCAUUUACAUGUCAUAGAUCGGAUCUAAGACGUACCUGGUGAAGAGAGUCGCGUUUUAAAUUUCUUUGAUAGUGCAGGUGUAUCCACACCGAGACUGAUCCUUGCUAUCAACUCUUUGAUCAAUGAAACCCCGCGAACAA
rnacentral:lncRNA from 1 species